rnacentral:sRNA from 1 species
AUCUAGCCCCGAUAGAAGUGGAAAUCCUUUUAUGUCCGCUGGGGCGGACAUAAAAGAUUGUAACGGAUAGCGGGACUUGAC